rnacentral:rRNA from 1 species
CAGUAGCCGCGGGAAUACCGAGGGUGCGAGCGUUAAUCGGAUUUACUGGGCGUAAAGCGUGCGUAGGCGGCUUCUUAAGUCGGAUGUGAAAUCCCUGAGCUUAACUUAGGAAUUGCAUUCGAUACUGGGAAGCUAGAGUAUGGGAGAGGAUGGUAGAAUUCCAGGUGUAGCGGUGAAAUGCGUAGAGAUCUGGAGGAAUACCGAUGGAGAAGGCAGCCAUCUGGCCUAAUACUGACGCUGAGGUACGAAAGCAUGGGGAGCAAACAGGAUUAGAUACCCCUGUAGUCCCUGUCUCUUAUAC